rnacentral:rRNA from 1 species
GAUAAACGCUAGCGGCAGGCUUAACACAUGCAAGUCGAGGGGCAGCAUAGAUUGUAGCAAUACAAUUGGUGGCGACCGGCGCACGGGUGCGUAACGCGUAUGCAACCUACCCGUCACAGGGGGAUAAUCCGGAGAAAUCUGGUCUAAUACCCCAUAACAUAUGGAUCGGCAUCGGUUCAUGUUGAAAUUUUCGGAGGUGACGGAUGGGCAUGCGUAGCAUUAGCUUGUUGGUGAGGUAACGGCUCACCAAGGCGACGAUGCUUAGGGGGACUGAGAGGUUUUCCCCCCACACUGGUACUGAGACACGGACCGGACUCGUACGGGAGGAAGCAGUGCGGAAUAUUGGUCAAUGGGCGCAAGCCUGAACCGUCCAUGCCGCGUGCAGGAUGACGGCUCUAUGAGUUGUAAACUGCUUUUGUACGAGGGUAAAGUGGGUUACGUGUAACCUUUUGAAAGUAUCGUACGAAUAAGGAUCGGCUAACUCCGUGCCAGCCGCCGCCGUAA